GGGGGCGUCCGGUCUCGACGGGGCAGGCGGUUUUCGGGAUAGCGAGCCGAAGGCGUGAGCGUUACAGCGCAAGGCAUACAAACGCCAAUAACAACCGACAGCUCGCUCUCGCUGCGUAAGCAGCGCUGAGUCGAGUCCCGGGACUUUGAUCCCGGGCGUCGUCCUCGAAGGUGCCGACCCUCCGAGAUAGCGGCGUCACAUCAGCCGGCUAGCCGGUUCGAGGGCGCCUCGGCCUCGAACCGGGACACUCACCGGGGCUGGCCAAGAGGGAUCCCGUCGGGAGGAGCCCAGCGGCGAGAGCAAAUUCCCGGACACGCUCGUAGAGGUCCCGAGGGACGCUGCUUCGGACGCGGGUUCAACUCCCGCCGCCUCCACCA
rnacentral:tmRNA from 1 species